rnacentral:ncRNA from 2 species
UCAAAAUGGUUCUGUUCAGGUUCUUGUGUGAAGAUGAAAAGGGAACCCCGUGAAAAUCGGGGACGGGCCCGCCGCUGUGAUCGGGUACGAAAUCCGCAACAUGUCACUGUUCCGGCAUAAGGGAAUGGGAAGGCGCGGAGAUUAGGUCAAUCCGAGAGUCAGAAGACCUGCCUGAGCAACAGCCUGCCC